AAAUGAGAUAGUAAAUGUAAAUAAUUUUAAGAGUAUAGAUUAUAGCAAAAUGUAGUGGAACAAAUAGGAAAUAAUGAGUUUCAAGUGUUUACUUUUGCUUUUAAUAACAUUUAAUGCUAGGUUUACGUAAUUUAAUUUUUCAAAAUGACUUGAUUCAUAAACAGCUCACAAAAUUCCUGAAAAUUUAACAAUUGGCUUUUGUGAGCAGGUAUAACCUGGCUCCAGGACACCUCUUGGUCACAUCUUCACUGCUUACCGUGAGAAGGAUUCAACUGAGACAGGGAAUUGUACUUUGAGGAAGCAGCCAGAAUCAACAUAUUGUGGAACCUACGCCACAGGAACUUUUUCGUACUCUCAUGAAGUUGAGUCAAGCAUACCAUAGAACAUCUAGUGUUGUUCCUAUUGUCUGUUCUCCCCACCCUAAUUUUCUGCUUUAGUUGACCUCUGCUUUUCAGAUUGUCACAUACCACAUUCCCUUUCCCCGCCACCACUGCUGCUGGACCCCUCUGGUAUUUUCGCUGGAUCCCACAGCUCUUGAAAGCCACAAAUACUUCUGCUAGCCACCAUUCCUGUUUCUCCUCCAUUCAGCUCAC
rnacentral:lncRNA from 1 species